rnacentral:tRNA from 1 species
GGAGGGGUGGCCGAGUGGCUGAAGGCACCAGUCUUGAAAACUGGCGAACUGGUAACGGUUCCGUGAGUUCGAAUCUCACCCCCUCCGCCA